rnacentral:rRNA from 1 species
UACACACCGCCCGUCACGCCAUGGAAGUUGGGAGCGCCCGAAGCCCGUGAGCCAACCGUAAGGAGGCAGCGGUCGAAGGCGAGUUCGAUGACUGGGGCG